rnacentral:tRNA from 1 species
GGGAAGUUGGCUCAGUGGUAGAGUGCUUGUCUUGCAUGCAUGAGGCCCUGGGUUCAAUUCCUCAGCAUCACA